rnacentral:lncRNA from 1 species
UUCCUUCCACCUGAGUGUCAACUUUUCCUGCAGGUUUGUGUUUAACCCUUUCAGCUCCUGUGGAGUCUGCGCUCCGCUCAGCUGGGAUUUUCCCCAAAGCGCAGCGUCUCCUCACAGAGCAUUGAUAAAGGUGAUCUGAAGCCGGCAGAAGGCGGUCCGCUGACGCCGUAGCGGCUCUGUCCCUCCUCCUCCUUCUCCUCCUCUCUCCUCCGUCAGUCUGUCUGGAGGAGACCUCUCUCGGAGCUGGAGAGGAGAGGUCGGAAGAGUCUCUCUGCCAGCAGCCGCUCUCCGCAGCCCUCCCGCAGUGUCACCACCAUGGCUUUGGGGAGUAAAGGAGUCUUUUGGAUUAUCUCUCGGUUCGCGCUGCUGCUCUCCUACAGCGGGACAUCCGCAGGAGCAGAUGGGUGUGACAGUGCUCUGCUGUCCAACCUGCCACCAUCAUCCUUCAGAAGCUCCUCCCAGUUGUCCAGUAGCCAUGCAGCGGGUUUCUCCAAACUCAACCGAAGAGACGUCUAAUCGCCACAAGUAAAGGUCAGAGUGUCUGCUCUUUUCUAUUCUGCCGUCGUCGGACACGUCUGUUAGUCAAGAGCUUAUUAGUUCUGGCCUUUCGUCUCUUAAAGAUCAGCUCGGACUCGCCACCAGACCGACGCUGAUUCAUUUUCAAUGCU